rnacentral:rRNA from 1 species
UACGUAGGGUGCAAGCGUUGUCCGGAAUUAUUGGGCGUAAAGAGCUCGUAGGCGGUUUGUCGCGUCGAAUGUGAAAACCCGGGGCUCAACCCCGGGCCUGCAGUCGAUACGGGCAGACUAGAGUGCGGUAGGGGAGACUGGAAUUCCUGGUGUAGCGGUGAAAUGCGCAGAUAUCAGGAGGAACACCGGUGGCGAAGGCGGGUCUCUGGGCCGAUACUGACGCUGAGGAGCGAAAGCGUGGGGAGCGAACAGG